rnacentral:misc_RNA from 1 species
AUAUCCUCAACCUUCUUGGUUUCUUGAUCAAGAAGGCUUGGAAUUUGGAGGCUUUUGCUGGCUUCCUUCAAAGCCAGCUCCUCUUAAAUGAAUUAGUAGGGUCCACUUUGCUGAUCCUUGAUGUGAUAAGAUACUUUCUACGUCUUGGGUUUUUGCAAACCUGCUUCUAACUGUCUCGUCGGAGACUGAACUCAUAUAUAUUAAAC